GUUUGAUCCUGGCUCAGGAUGAACGCUGGCGGCGUGCUUAACACAUGCAAGUCGAACGAUCCUUCGGGAUAGUGGCGGACGGGUGAGUAACGCGUGGGAAUCUGCCCUUAGGAGGGGGAUAACGGCUGGAAACGGCCGCUAAUACCCCAUAUGCCGAGAGGUGAAACGAAUUUCGCCUGAGGAUGAGCCCGCGUCUGAUUAGCUAGUUGGUGGGGUAAAGGCCUACCAAGGCGACGAUCAGUAGCUGGUCAGAGAGGAUGAUCAGCCACACUGGGACUGAGACACGGCCCAGACUCCUACGGGAGGCAGCAGUGGGGAAUUUUCCGCAAUGGGCGAAAGCCUGACGGAGCAACGCCGCGUGAGGGAUGAAGGCCUCUGGGCUGUAAACCUCUUUUCUCAAGGAAGAAGAACUGACGGUACUUGAGGAAUAAGCCACGGCUAAUUCCGUGCCAGCAGCCGCGGUAAUACGGGAGUGGCAAGCGUUAUCCGGAAUUAUUGGGCGUAAAGCGUCCGCAGGCGGCCUUGUAAGUCUGUUGUUAAAGCGUGGAGCUCAACUCCAUUUAAGCAAUGGAAACUACAAGGCUGGAGUGUGGUAGGGGCAGAGGGAAUUCCCGGUGUAGCGGUGAAAUGCGUAGAUAUCGGGAAGAACACCAGUGGCGAAGGCGCUCUGCUGGGCCAUAACUGACGCUCAUGGACGAAAGCCAGGGGAGCGAAAGGGAUUAGAUACCCCUGUAGUCCUGGCCGUAAACGAUGAACACUAGGUGUCGGGGGAAUCGACCCCCUCGGUGUCGUAGCCAACGCGUUAAGUGUUCCGCCUGGGGAGUACGCACGCAAGUGUGAAACUCAAAGGAAUUGACGGGGGCCCGCACAAGCGGUGGAGUAUGUGGUUUAAUUCGAUGCAACGCGAAGAACCUUACCAGGGUUUGACAUCCUGCGAAUCCCUUGGAAACGAGGGAGUGCCUUCGGGAGCGCAGUGACAGGUGGUGCAUGGCUGUCGUCAGCUCGUGUCGUGAGAUGUUGGGUUAAGUCCCGCAACGAGCGCAACCCACGUCUUUAGUUGCCAGCAUUCAGUUGGGCACUCUAGAGAGACCGCCGGUGAUAAACCGGAGGAAGGUGUGGAUGACGUCAAGUCAUCAUGCCCCUUACAUCCUGGGCUACACACGUACUACAAUGCUACGGACAAAGGGCAGCAAGCUCGCGAGAGUUAGCAAAUCCCAUAAACCGUGGCUCAGUUCAGAUCGUAGGCUGCAACUCGCCUACGUGAAGGAGGAAUCGCUAGUAAUCGCAGGUCAGCAUACUGCGGUAAAUACGUUCCCGGGCCUUGUACACACCGCCCGUCACACCAUGGAAGUUGGCCAUGCCCGAAGUCGUUACUCCAACCCUUGUGGAGGAGGACGCCGAAGGUGGGGCUGAUGACUGGGGUGAAGUCGACAAGGUA
rnacentral:rRNA from 1 species